rnacentral:rRNA from 1 species
UGGGGAAUUUUGGACAAUGGGCGAAAGCCUGAUCCAGCAAUGCCGCGUGUGUGAAGAAGGCCUUCGGGUUGUAAAGCACUUUUGUCCGGAAAGAAAUCCUUGGCUCUAAUACAGUCGGGGGAUGACGGUACCGGAAGAAUAAGCACCGGCUAACUACGUGCCAGCAGCCGCGGUAAUACGUAGGGUGCAAGCGUUAAUCGGAAUUACUGGGCGUAAAGCGUGCGCAGGCGGUUUGCUAAGACCGAUGUGAAAUCCCCGGGCUCAACCUGGGAACUGCAUUGGUGACUGGCAGGCUAGAGUAUGGCAGAGGGGGGUAGAAUUCCACGUGUAGCAGUGAAAUGCGUAGAGAUGUGGAGGAAUACCGAUGGCGAAGGCAGCCCCCUGGGCCAAUACUGACGCUCAUGCACGAAAGCGUGGGGAGCAAACAGGAUUAGAUACCCUGGUAGUCCACGCCCUAAACGAUGUCAACCAGUUGUUGGGGAUUCAUUUCCUUAGUAACGUAGCUAACGCGUGAAGUUGACCGCCUGGGGAGUACGGUCGCAAGAUUAAAACUCAAAGGAAUUGACGGGGUCAUAGCUG